rnacentral:rRNA from 1 species
ACGGAGAAGGCUAUGUUGGCCGGGCGACGGUUGUCCCGGUUUAAGCGUGUAGGUGUGUGUUCCAGGUAAAUCCGGUUCACUUUAACACUGAGGCGUGACGACGAGGCACUACGGUGCUGAAGCAACAAAUGCCCUGCUUCCAGGAAAAGCCUCUAAGCAUCAGGUAACAUCAAAUCGUACCCCAAACCGACACAGGUGGUCAGGUAGAGAAUACCAAGGCGCUUGAGAGAACUCGGGUGAAGGAACUAGGCAAAAUGGUGCCGUAACUUCGGGAGAAGGCACGCUGACACGUAGGUGAAGUGAUUUACUCAUGGAGCUGAAGUCAGUCGAAGAUACCAGCUGGCUGCAACUGUUUAUUAAAAACACAGCACUGUGCAAACACGAAAGUGGACGUAUACGGUGUGACGCCUGCCCGGUGCCGGAAGGUUAAUUGAUGGGGUCAGCGCAAGCGAAGCUCCUGAUCGAAGCCCCGGUAAACGGCGGCCGUAACUAUAACGGUCCUAAGGUAGCGAAAUUCCUUGUCGGGUAAGUUCCGACCUGCACGAAUGGCGUAAUGAUGGCCAGGCUGUCUCCACCCGAGACUCAGUGAAAUUGAACUCGCUGUGAAGAUGCAGUGUACCCGCGGCAAGACGGAAAGACCCCGUGAACCUUUACUAUAGCUUGACACUGAACAUUGAGCCUUGAUGUGUAGGAUAGGUGGGAGGCUUUGAAGUGUGGACGCCAGUCUGCAUGGAGCCGACCUUGAAAUACCACCCUUUAAUGUUUGAUGUUCUAACGUGGACCCGUUACCCGGGUUGCGGACAGUGUCUGGNNNNNNNNNNNNNNNNNNNNGGGUAGUUUGACUGGGGCGGUCUCCUCCUAAAGAGUAACGGAGGAGCACGAAGGUUGGCUAAUCCUGGUCGGACAUCAGGAGGUUAGUGCAAUGGCAUAAGCCAGCUUGACUGCGAGCGUGACGGCGCGAGCAGGUGCGAAAGCAGGUCAUAGUGAUCCGGUGGUUCUGAAUGGAAGGGCCAUCGCUCAACGGAUAAAAGGUACUCCGGGGAUAACAGGCUGAUACCGCCCAAGAGUUCAUAUCGACGGCGGUGUUUGGCACCUCGAUGUCGGCUCAUCACAUCCUGGGGCUGAAGUAGGUCCCAAGGGUAUGGCUGUUCGCCAUUUAAAGUGGUACGCGAGCUGGGUUUAGAACGUCGUGAGACAGUUCGGUCCCUAUCUGCCGUGGGCGCUGGAGAACUGAGGGGGGCUGCUCCUAGUACGAGAGGACCGGAGUGGACGCAUCACUGGUGUUCGGGUUGUCAUGCCAAUGGCACUGCCCGGUAGCUAAAUGCGGAAGAGAUAAGUGCUGAAAGCAUCUAAGCACGAAACUUGCCCCGAGAUGAGUUCUCCCUGAGACUUUAGGUCUCCUGAAGGAACGUUGAAGACGACGACGUUGAUAGGCCGGGUGUGUAAGCGCAGCGAUGCGUUGAGCUAACCGGUACUAAUGAACCGUGAGGCUUAACCUUACAACGCCGAAGAUGUUUUGGCGGAUGAGAGACGAUUUUCAGCACUGAUUCNNNNNNNNNNNNNNNNNNNNGCGGAUGAGAGACGAUUUUCAGCACUGAUUCAGAUUACAUCAGAACGUAAAAACGGUCUGAUAACAGAAUUUGCCUGGCGGCAGUAGCGCGGUGGUCCCACCUGA